AUCUUUACCUGGCAGGGGAGAGCCCAUGAUGAUGAAGGUGGUUCUCCCAGGACGAGGCUAGUCCAUUGCACGUCGGGUGUGCUGACGCCUGCAAUGUCCCCAAAUGCGGAUACUCGAAUACAAAAUAUGUGGUAGUGAGGGACUGUGUUCACGCUCUCCCCUG